rnacentral:snRNA from 1 species
AUCCGCUAAGGAGUGUGUAAC